rnacentral:rRNA from 1 species
AGAGUUUGAUCCUGGCUCAGGAUGAACGCUGGCGGCGUGCUUAACACAUGCAAGUCGAACGGGAAUUACUUUAUUGAAACUUCGGACGAUUUAAUUUAAUUCGAGUGGCGGACGGGGGAGUAACGGCAUGGGUAACCUUCCCUAUGCAGCGGGAUAACACUCAGAAAUGGCUAUUAAUAUCGCAUAAGAGCACAGGUCUGCCUGGCUCGAUGUGAUAAAACUCUCGGUGGUAUACAGAUGGACACGCGUUGGAUAUAGACUGUUGUGGUGUGAGUAACGGCCCUCCACAGAGCGACGAUCUCAUAUCCGGCCUGAGAGAGGGUGAACUGGCCACACUGGGACUGAGACACGGCCUCACACUCUUUCGGGAGAGCAGCACGAUGUGGGAAUAUAUGCACACAUGGGGGAGAACACCUGAUGCACGAGCACGCCGCGUGAAGGAAGAAGUAUCCUUGGUAUGUAAAACUUCUAUCUACCUACGGAAGAUAGUGACGGUACAUGAGAUAAGAAGCCCCCGCUAUCUACGUGCCACCACACCGCGGUAAUAUGUAUGAGGGGCAAGACGUUAUCUCGGAUUUAUUGGGUGUAAAGGGAGCGUAGACGGUGUGUCAAGUGUCAUGUGAAAGACAUGGGCUCUCCCCGUUGGUUGCCUUGGAAACUGUCAUACUUGAGUGCCGGAGGGGUAAGCGGAAUUCCUAGUGUAGCGGUGAAAUGCGUAGAUAUUAGGAGGAACCCCCGUGGGGAAGGCGGCUUAUUGGACGGUAACUGACCUUGAGGCUAGAAAGCGUGGGGAGCCAACCGGAUUAGAUACCCUGGUAGUUCCCCCCGUAAACGAUGAAUACUAGGCGUCGGGAGCUACGCCUCUUCGGUGCCGCGGCAACCGCAUUAAGUACUCCGCCUGGGAAGUACGUUGGCAAGAUUGAAACUCAAAGGAAUGACCGGGGACCCGCACAAGCGGCGGAGCAUGUGGUUUAAUUCGAAGCAACGCGAAGAACCUUACCAAAUCUUGACAUCCCUCUGACCGAUCUUAAUUCGCACCUUCUCUUCGGAGCACAGAUGACACAUGGGCGCAGGUUGUGUUCUCAUCGCGUCUCGAGAGAUGUGGGUUAAGUCUCCGCACCGAGCGCACACCCCUAUCCUCAGUAGCCAGCACAUAAGGUGGGCACUCUGGAGAGACUGCCAGGGAUAACCUGGAGGAAGGCGGGGAUGACGUCAAAUCAUCAUGCCCCUUAUGAUUAGGGCUACACACGUGCUACAAUGGCGUAAACAGAGGGCAGCCAGAUGGUGACCUGGAGCAAAUCCCAAAAAUCCAGUCCCAGUUCGGACUGUAGUCUGCAACCCGCCUACACGAAGCUGGAAUCGCUAGUAAUCGCGGAUCAGAAUGCCGCGGUGAAUACGUUCCCGGGUCUUGCACACACCGCCCGUCA